ensembl:lncRNA
ACUCAGCAGAGUCAGCCCUUUCUUUCUUUCUUUCUUUCUUUCUUUCUUUCUUUCUUUCUUUCUUUUAAAUUGAUUUUUAACAUAAGCUGGUUGUUUUGGAGGUUAAAAAACAGAUAUAAAUAAACUUUCUUUCUUUCUUUCUUUCUUUCUUUUUAUUAGCACAUAGAAUUAUACAAUGUGUGUGUGGUUACUUGAAGUCUUCUGCUGUCUGUUGCAAUCUGCAAAAAAAAUUAAUUAGUGUGAAUGAUAGAAGCCAUCAGAAACCUUGAAUGCUUUAGAUUUCAAGUUGUAGGGACCAUUGAAGGGUUCUCAUUCAGGUAUCUGAUCCGUGAAGCAUCGCAUUAUUUGUCUGAUGGAUGAGUAACCUGACCAUGCUGCUGUCAGCUCUGACAUUUGUUUGUCUGGACUAUAAGAGACGUGUGUGUGAUUGAUAACUGAGUGUGCACGCUCUCGGGCAGACUUAUGAGUGUUUGAUAGCUCUACAGUGUGUGUUUGUGUGCACAUACUUAAUCGUGUGUGUUUUCUCAAACACUUCAGAAUCCUGUUCACCCCGCAGCCUUGUGACUGCUAUCCAGAUGGACUCAUUACAAUCAUCUCUCCACAGCUGCAAGGUGCGUGCUCUACUUUUGUGUAAAAAAAAGACAAUUGAGCAUAAACAGAAAUGGUAGAUUUGUGCUCUUUUUGUGUCAGGCCAGGCUUGUGCAGAUCAAAGGAAGGGCCUGAUGGAGAAUUGCCAUAUGACCAAUCGAUCCUGAGAUGACGGUGGCAGGAUGGUGUGUGUGUGUCGCUGUCAGCAGGUGGCGCUUAUGGAACAGCAGUGAUAUGGCAUUUCCUUGGUUGUGCUGAAAUACUACUUAUUCGGAGGUUCUCCUGGGGAGAGUGCUAGUGAUGUUGAGUGUUGUGUGUCUGCAUCUGCACUGUGUGUGUGUAAUGAGAGGGAUAUCCUCUUGGAGACUCCUGUCUGGCAAGAGCUGGAAAGAGAUCAUCACCUUGUGGACCUGAUAUCAACAGAGAGAGACAGAGAGAGAGAGAGUGAAAAACAAGGAAAGAGAGAUGGUAAGUUAGAGCAUGGGAUCAGGGAAGCUGCUGUGAGAAUUGUUUAAUUUUUUUUUCUUUUUUUUUCUUUUUUCUUGGCAGUGGUGAUUCCAAAGCUUGACCAUAAAAUUACAGUGACCGUUUCAGGCAUUAUAGGGCUUUAUGGGUCAUUUUAGUGAAUGCUUAACGGGUUUAUACAGUGGCUUUUUAUAUUCUUCUCCUUUUAACAUUACUAACAUUUUAUACACUCCACUGCCUUUAAUCUACUAGAUUUCUUUUUCUCUAGAUGGUGAUUUUAAAUCUGUUUAGGGGUUUGUGCUGUUUAUAGCAUCAGAACAGGAAGUAAUAAUUUCCACCACAAGCCAUAACCAAUGCAACCCAAUGUACAAGCUGGAAAAUAUAGCAAUUUCAUAAAUGAGGAGAGCUGGCCCAUGCUCACAGAUAACCUGCUGCUUU